rnacentral:rRNA from 1 species
CUUGAGCCGGGAAUGGAAAGACCGGUACAAGCGAGGUAGGAGAAGAGUUGGCAAAUCCGCUCUUUAAUCUGAAGACGUGAUGUGGACUGAAAAUAAGUAGGGAAGCACGUGAGCUGACUGUCAAGAAAAGCCGCUAUUGUUUGCAGGAUACCCGUACCGUAAACCGACACAGGUGGAUGAGGAGAGAAUCCUAAGGCCGGCGGGAGAAGCAUUGUUAAGGAACUCGGCAAAAUGACUCCGUAACUUCGGGAGAAGGAGUGCCAGUAAGAUGGCCGCAGAGAAUUGGCCCAAGCAACUGUUUAGCAAAAACACAGGUCUAUGCAAAACCGAAAGGUGAGGUAUAUGGGCUGACGCCUGCCCGGUGCUGGAAGGUUAAGGGGAGAGGUUAGCGCAAGCGAAGCUUUGAACUUAAGCCCCAGUAAACGGCGGCCGUAACGAUAACGGUCCUAAGGUAGCGAAAUUCCUUGUCGGGUAAGUUCCGACCCGCACGAAAGGCGUAAUGAUUUGGGCACUGUCUCAACAAUGCACCCGGUGAAAUUGAAAUACCAGUGAAGAUGCUGGUUACCUGCGCCAGGACGGAAAGACCCCAUGGAGCUUUACUCCAGCUUGAUACUGGGAUUCGGUAUUGCAUGUACAGGAUAGGUGGGAGGCUAGGAAAUGGUAACGCCAGUUGCCAUGGAGCCAAUGUUGGGAUACCACCCUUGCAGUACUGGGUUUCUAACCAGCAGCCGUGAUCCGGCUGGGGGACAAUGUCAGGUGGGGAGUUUGACUGGGGCGGUCGCCUCCGAAAGGGUAUCGGAGGCGCUCAAAGGUUCCCUCAGAAUGGUUGGAAACCAUUCGAAGAGUGCAAAGGCAGAAGGGAGCUUGACUGCGACACCGACGGGUGGAGCAGGUACGAAAGUAGGACUUAGUGAUCCGGUGGUAUAAAGUGGGAUUGCCAUCGCUCAACGGAUAAAAGCUACCCUGGGAUAACAGGCUUAUCACUCCCAAGAGUUCACAUCGACGGAGUGGUUUGGCACCUCGAUGUCGGCUCAUCGCAUCCUGGGGCUGAAGUAGGUCCCAAGGGUUGGGCUGUUCGCCCAUUAAAGCGGUACGCGAGCUGGGUUCAGAACGUCGUGAGACAGUUCGGUCCCUAUCCGGCGUGAGCGUAAGAUAUUUGAGAGGAGCUGUCCUUAGUACGAGAGGACCGGGAUGGACUGGCCGCUGGUGUAUCUGUUGUCUUACCAAAGGCAUAGCAGAGUAGCCAAGCCGGGAAGGGAUAAACGCUGAAGGCAUCUAAGCGUGAAGCCCCCCUCAAGAUGAGAUAUCUCAUAACGUCAAGUUAGUAAGACCCCUUGAAGACGACGAGGUAGAUAGGGCAGAGGUGGAAGUGUGGUAACACAUGGAGCUGACUGUUACUAAUAGGUCGAGGGCAUAACU